rfam:Brachypodium distachyon strain Bd21 chromosome 1, whole genome shotgun sequence.
UAACUACUCACUCCGUCCAACAAAAAAUGUAUUAAGUUUGUUAAAAUUUGGAUGCAUCUAGCCAUAACUUAGUACAUAGAUGCAUUCAAAUUUAGUCAAAAUUGAGACAUCCUUUGUUGGACGCAGGGAGUACAAG